AAGCUGUCGCUAUGGGAUGGCCCCGCGGUGCAUUAGCUAGUUGGUAAGGUAAAGGCUUACCAAGGCGAUGAUGCAUAGCCGAGUUGAGAGACUGAUCGGCCACAUUGGGACUGAGACACGGCCCAAACUCCUACGGGAGGCAGCAGUAGGGAAUCUUCCACAAUGGACGCAAGUCUGAUGGAGCAACGCCGCGUGAGUGAAGAAGGUUUUCGGAUCGUAAAGCUCUGUUGUUGGUGAAGAAGGAUAGAGGUAGUAACUGGCCUUUAUUUGACGGUAAUCAACCAGAAAGUCACGGCUAACUACGUGCCAGCAGCCGCGGUAAUACGUAGGUGGCAAGCGUUGUCCGGAUUUAUUGGGCGUAAAGCGAGCGCAGGCGGAAGAAUAAGUCUGAUGUGAAAGCCCUCGGCUUAACCGAGGAACUGCAUCGGAAACUGUUUUUCUUGAGUGCAGAAGAGGAGAGUGGAACUCCAUGUGUAGCGGUGGAAUGCGUAGAUAUAUGGAAGAACACCAGUGGCGAAGGCGGCUCUCUGGUCUGCAACUGACGCUGAGGCUCGAAAGCAUGGGUAGCGAACAGGAUUAGAUACCCUGGUAGUCCAUGCCGUAAACGAUGAGUGCUAAGUGUUGGGAGGUUUCCGCCUCUCAGUGCUGCAGCUAACGC
rnacentral:rRNA from 1 species